rnacentral:lncRNA from 1 species
GACAUAACACAAAAUCCCCAAAACAUAACACCCGAAAUCCCUAAUCCCCUCUUCCCUCGAAGGUGCCGGCACAGGGAUUCACCAUCGGAGAAGGCCAUCUUACCACCAUACUAACGUUUUCCGGUGUCGCAUUCGCCUUUGACGAGGAAGGCUUGCCACCAUUUCUACAAAGACCUUCAUCUCACCUUUUUUGUCGCGUUUCCUUUCGCGAUCUGUUUCUCGGUGCUUGCCGGUCUUUGUCUGUUGUACUCUUUGUCUUUCUGUCUAUCUCUCUCUCUGAUCUCUGUUAUGGUCGUUGAUUUCUUCUCCAUGUAUUCUUUGUUUUGUUAUUAUUUGUCAAUUUUUCUCUACGAAGAUGAAUGCAUAACAGACUCGAAUAAUUCACUAUGUCACAUAAUCUCAGCAGCAUAAUAAAAAUAGUAGAAAAGAAGGUCAAUGAUAAUCUCAUGAAGUUUGAGAUUACUAAAACUGUAUAGAAAGUAAUCUCUGAUGCUUUUGAGAACCACAGAAAGUAAGAAAAUGUUUACCAAGAAAAAUAAAAAAGGUAACACAAAAGAGAAG